rnacentral:rRNA from 1 species
GUAUCUUUGGGUCUGGCUCUUGUCUAUGUUUCUUGGAACAGAACGUCACAGAGGGUGAGAAUCCCGUGCGAUGAGAUGUCCCAGACCUAUGUAAAGUUCCUUCGAAGAGUCGAGUUGUUUGGGAAUGCAGCUCUAAGUGGGUGGUAAAUUCCAUCUAAAGCUAAAUAUUGGCGAGAGACCGAUAGCGAACAAGUACAGUGAUGGAAAGAUGAAAAGAACUUUGAAAAGAGAGUGAAAAAGUACGUGAAAUUGUUGAAAGGGAAGGGCUUGAGAUCAGACUUGGUAUUUUGUAUGUUACUCUCUCGGGGGUGGCCUCUACAGUUUACCGGGCCAGCAUCAGUUUGAGCGGUAGGAUAAGUGCAAAGAAAUGUGGCACUGCUUCGGUAGUGUGUUAUAGUCUUUGUCGAUACUGCCAGCUUAGACUGAGGACUGCGGCUUCGGCCUAGGAUGUUGGCAUAAUGAUCUUAAGUCGCCCGUCUUGAAACACGGACCAAGGAGUCUAACGUCUAUGCGAGUGUUUGGGUGUAAAACCCGUACGCGUAAUGAAAGUGAACGUAGGUAGGACCUCCUUUAGGAGUGCACUAUCGACCGAUCCUGAUGUCUUCGGAUGGAUUUGAGUAAGAGCAUAGCUGUUGGGACCCGAAAGAUGGUGAACUAUGCCUGAAUAGGGUGAAGCCAGAGGAAACUCUGGUGGAGGCUCGUAGCGGUUCUGACGUGCAAAUCGAUCGUCGAA